UCCUCCACCUCUGAUGGCUUUUUUAUUUCCCAAGAAAAGUAUAUCCAGGAUCUUCUUACUCGUGCGGCUCUUAGUGACGAGCGCACUGUUGAGACUCCUAUGGAGCUCAUUGUUAACCUUCGUGCUUCUGAUGGUGAGCUCCUGUCUGAUCCGACGCGUUAUCGUCAUCUUGUUGGGAGCCUUGUCUAUCUUGCUGUUACUCGUCAAGAUAUCUCCUAUCCUGUCCAUAUUCUGAGUCAGUUUGUUUCCGCUCCCACUACAGUUCACUAUAGUCACCUUCUUCGUGUUCUACGAUAUCUUCGUGGCACGAUCUCCCAUCGUCUGUUUUUUUCCCCGUUCCAUCUCGCUACAGCUCCAGGCCUAUUAGGAUGCUACGUGGGCUAG
rnacentral:rRNA from 1 species